GAGUUUGAUCAUGGCUCAGAACGUACGCUGGCGGCACGCCUAACACAUGCAAGUCGAACGAAGUAGCAAUACUUAGUGGCAGACGGGUGAGUAACAUGUAGGUAUCUGCCCUUUGGCCUGGAAUAACACGAGGAAACUUGUGCUAAUACCGGAUAAGUCUUUACGGAGAAAGCUUUAUGCACCAUUGGAUGAGCCUGCACUUGAUUAGUUUGUUGGUGGGGUAAUGGCCUACCAAGACUGUGAUCAAUAGCUGAUUUGAGAGGAUGAUCAGCCACAUUGGGACUGAGACACGGCCCAAACUCCUACGGGAGGCAGCAGUGGGGAAUCUUGCACAAUGGAGGAAACUCUGAUGCAGCGAUGCCGCGUGAGUGAAGAAGGCCCUUGGGUUGUAAAGCUCUUUCGUCGGGGAAGAAAAUGACUGUACCCGAAUAAGAAGGUCCGGCUAACUUCGUGCCAGCAGCCGCGGUAAUACGAAGGGACCUAGCGUAGUUCGGAAUUACUGGGCUUAAAGAGUUCGUAGGUGGUUGAAAAAGUUAGUGGUGAAAUCCCAGAGCUUAACUCUGGAACUGCCAUUAAAACUUUUCAGCUAGAGUAUGAUAGAGGAAAGCAGAAUUUCUAGUGUAGAGGUGAAAUUCGUAGAUAUUAGAAAGAAUACCAAUUGCGAAGGCAGCUUUCUGGAUCAUUACUGACACUGAGGAACGAAAGCAUGGGUAGCGAAGAGGAUUAGAUACCCUCGUAGUCCAUGCCGUAAACGAUGUGUGUUAGACGUUGGAAAUUUAUUUUCAGUGUCGCAGGGAAACCGAUAAACACACCGCCUGGGGAGUACGACCGCAAGGUUAAAACUCAAAUGAAUUGACGGGGACCCGCACAAGUAGUGGAGCAUGUGGUUUAAUUCGAAGAUACGCGCAGAACCUUACCAACACUUGACAUGUUCGUCGCGACUCUAAGGGAUUAGAGUUUUCGGUUCGGCCGGACGAAACACAGGUGCUGCAUGGCUGUCGUCAGCUCGUGUCGUGAGAUGUUGGGUUAAGUCCCGCAACGAGCGCAACCCUCACUUUUAGUUGCCAUCAUUAAGUUGGGCACUCUGAAAGAACUGCCAGUGAUAAGCUGGAGGAAGGUGGGGAUGACGUCAAGUCCUCAUGGCCCUUACGUGUUGGGCUACACACGUGCUACAAUGGUAUCUACAACAGGAAGCAAGACUGCGAAGUUAAGCAAAUCCCUAAAAGAUACCUCAGUUCGGAUUGCACUCUGCAACUCGAGUACAUGAAGCUGGAAUUACUAGUAAUCGUGGAUCAGCGUGCCACGGUGAAUGCGUUCCCGGGUCUUGUACACACCGCCCGUCACACCAUGGGAGUUGGUUCUACCUUAAGGCAAGGUUUCAAACCCUUGACCACGGUAUAGUCAGCGACUGGGGUGAAGUCGUAACAAGGUAACC
rnacentral:rRNA from 1 species